UUUUUCUUGACUUUUUCUCUUGUUAGUUGUAACGUUAUAUAUAUAAAUUACAACCUUUUGUUGCAUUUCGAUUUAGUUUCGCUUUUAUUCACAAUUACACUAUCUUUGUCUGUCCUGUCUUGGGUUAAUCUUGCAUAGUUAUUAAAAGUCACUAACCAGGCUAGAAUAAUGAUUUCCAAAAUCCUCCUACCCCCUCCCUCGGGUACAUAAUAUCAAAUGGUCGUCCCCUUGUCAUUAAUUUGAGGAUAAUGUUCAUUAUUAAAUUAUCUUUGUUGAGACCAGUACUUAAAAAAAAGGAGUGUUUAUAGUCUUUUCUGCGACUGUGUCUACGGUAUUUGGUGUAUGUAAUGAUUGUGAGGUGUUCAUAUAACAAG
rnacentral:lncRNA from 1 species